GAAACUCGAGCUAAUACCGCAUACGCCCUACGGGGGAAAGAUUUAUCGCUAUUAGAUGAGCCCAAGUCAGAUUAGCUAGUUGGUAGGGUAAAGGCCUACCAAGGCGACGAUCUGUAGCUGGUCUGAGAGGACGAACAGCCACACUGGGACUGAGACACGGCCCAGACUCCUACGGGAGGCAGCAGUGGGGAAUAUUGGACAAUGGGCGAAAGCCUGAUCCAGCAAUGCCGCGUGUGUGAAGAAGGCCUGCGGGUUGUAAAGCACUUUCAGUUGGGAAGAUUAUGACGUUACCAACAGAAGAAGCACCGGCUAACUCCGUGCCAGCAGCCGCGGUAAUACGGGAGGGUGCAAGCGUUAAUCGGAAUUACUGGGCGUAAAGCGCGCGUAGGCGGCUUGGCCAGUCAGAUGUGGAAAUCCCCGGGGCUUAACCUGGGGAACUGCAUUUGAUACUGCCAGGCUAGAGUAUGGUAGAGGGAAGUGGAAUUCCAGGUGUAGCCGGUGGAAAAUGCGUUA
rnacentral:rRNA from 1 species